CCUACGGGAGGCAGCAGUGGGGAAUAUUGGGCAAUGGGCGCAAGCCUGACCCAGCAACGCCGCGUGAAGGAAGAAGGCGUUCGGGAUGUAAACUUCUUUUCGCAGGGACGAAGAAAGUGACGGGACCGGAGGAAUAAGCCAAGGCUAAGUACGUGCCAGCAGCCGCGGUAAUACUUCGGUGGCAAGAGUUAUGCGGAUUUAUUGGGUGUAAAGGGCGUGUAGGCGGGAGGGUCAGUCAGAUGUGAAAACUCAGGGCUCAACCCUGAGCCUGCCUUUGAAACGGUGUUUCUUGAGUGCUGGAGAGGCAAUCGGAAUUCCGUGUGUAGCGGUGAAAUGCGUAGAUAUACGGCGGAACACCAGUGGCGAAGGCAGAUUGCUGGACAGUAUCUGACGCUGAGGCGCGAAAGCGUGGGUAUCAAACAGGAUUAGAUACCCUUGUAGUC
rnacentral:rRNA from 1 species